rnacentral:rRNA from 1 species
AUGGGCGCGGAUGAGGAGGAGCACCAGUCCCCCGCGCGGAAGCGCGAGCGCAAGGAGGGGAGGAGCCCGCGGCCGCCGAUGAGAAGCGCUCGCACACGACGGACGAGUCAGAGAACGCCUUGCUGCUGGGGCUCGCCAACUACGCAGAUGAGGAGGAGGAGCGCGGGGCCCCGAGGGGGCACGCGAAUGGCCUGCCCCGGGAGGAGGAGGAGGAAGACGAUGAGGAUGAGGAGGAGGAUGAGAGGAGGGCUCCGGAGAGGCGGCCCAGGCAGGUCGAGCUGUGCCGGGACUGCCCCUACCUCGACAUCAUCAACCGACAGGUUUGCAAGAGAGCGGGUUAAAAUUCUGGACAAGAACAAGCAAUGGUCAAGAGCUCUAGAUGGCUCCAAUUAUUUACCUGGAAUGGUUGGUCUUAACAACAUUAAAGAGACUGACUUUGUGAAUCAUAGCAAAUCCCCACUGGUUCAUCGGUUUGGAGAACUAACUCGUAAGAUUUUUCAUGCUAGGAACUUCAAGGGACAAGUUAGUCCACAUGAGUUCCUUCAAGCUAUUAUGAAGGCUACUAAGAACUUCAAAGAAGAAAAAUAUAAGCUAAGAACUCCAGAGAGGCGGCCCAGGCAGGCCGAGCUGCACCGGGACUGCCCCUACCUCGACACUGUCAAUCGACAGCAAAGCCUCUUCGUUUCGAGCAGUAAUGUAGCCCUGUAUUGGUAA